AUUGAAUUCAAGAAAAAGAAAACUUUUAAAGUUUAAAAGAAGAAGAUUUCUUAUUAAAAGGCUAUCGCUAAAGCGAAAAAUACCUUAAAAAGAGACAUUUUUUAAAACAAUAAAAGCCUUUCCCGAGGACAUAUUUUAUUCUCAUUUUCGGAUGAAUUGGUCCACUUUCAAUGCUUUGAAAGACGCUUUGUCUCCAACUUGGGUAACUGCAAGGUUUGGCCGCUGUGGUCAUUCAUUAGAAAAAUGUCUAUACGUAACGUUAUGGAAGCUAUGCAAUAGCAGGGGCACCUUCCGCCAGUUUUCGGAUCGUUUCAACAUUGCGAGGGGAACAGCGUACUCUCUGUUCAUCAAAACAAUCAAAGCCAUUUGUAAUUUGAAAAGCGAAAUUAAAUGGCAAUCUGUUGAAUAUCAGCAAACUCUCAUGACGAAUUUUGAAAACAGCAGAGAAAAUCCGUUUCCUUUCGUAAUUGGAUGUUUACUAGAUGGAAGAGAUAUACUUAUGUACUUCCAUAUAAUUAGUUUACUUUUCUAAAUUUUCUUACUGAACACGGAAUAAAUCGUUUUUUUAGACUUCAUUUUCAUUUAAUUUAAUUUAAUAAAAUAUAUUAAAUUAA